CACAAAUGCAACCUGGGGUUUUCUUCUUCAUUUUUCCAAUUCCAGCUGCAGCCCUUGGAGUGUUCCACAUUCCACCCUUGGAGUGUCCACUUUCUGUUCAUAAUUUCCUCUCAGAUUGGAAAGAACUCCUCUGUUCCCUGAAGACCCGAGGGAUCCGAGUCCGCUCAGUGCUGCCUCCUUCUAAGGCCUGCCCAUCGUCCAUAAGACGCACAGAGCUCCUGACCCUCAGGCUCUGUGGGGGGUUCUCAAUAGAUAAAUAUGUAAGUAAAGUGUGAGCCUCAUCUUUGACAGAAACCUUUGAGUUUAACUCGCCUUCUUUACUACCUACCGUCUGCUCUGUGUUUUAGUCCUGCCUUAAUUGUCUGAAGAAGGAGGGAGUUCUGGAAAGGACACUGGACUCAGCCACUGCACCUGGUCCCAGCCCAGCUCGACCAGCGGUCUCACCUGGCUGCCCAGUGCUGAGAGCCUGCACCUUCUCAUCCAGGAGGUAGCUUCACAAAGUGCAAUAGGAUUGGAUAAGGCCAUUGAUAUAAAAUGCCUUCUUCGUUGCAGAAACAGUGACACUUUUCCUUUCUCACUUGCUGCUCAAGGUCAGGGGUGGGAGUCAACCGUUCAUUCACAGACUUGCACACGCCAUUUCUGGUGCACACUUGGACACUCCAUUAACUAAAAGGCGGAUGUUGGGGUGGGAAGGAGAGGGACACGUGUUAUACUACAGGGAGAUUCUAUCAGGCUUAACGACCAAUUUUGCUGCUGUAGUUAUUUCUGCAGAAAGCAUGAGAAAUUCCCUCGGAUUUCUACAACAAGGUGUAAGAAGGAAGGAGACGUCUUGGUAGGCUGGACUCCUCGUGCCAACGAGGUCUCCCGCAGGAAGAGGAGGGCAUUGCUGCUUCUCCAAGCUGGGCCUUGGAAUUACAGAAAUGCGAUUUCCAAAGUCCAGGUGAGGAAAUGAAGGCCCCGAGAAGAAACUGAGUAGGCCAAGCUGCAGAGAGUUCAAGAGACAAAAUUCUAGGCAUCUGGGCUCUGGCUCCCGGCCCAGGGCCCCUUCACCCUCACACUUCUGUCCCUGCCCUUUGCCACCUGUGCCCGCUUCCUCCAUCCCAAGGGCAACAGCGUUCCCAGCUGCCCUCAGCCAGCACUGUCGGUGGUGAUUCAUGGAUUAGAAGCUCUCUUUAUUUUUUGGUCCUGAGCCACUUUAAAUGUGAUUCACAAGGUUACUUUUGAAAAAGAAUGCAAGAUACAAAUAAAAAUGGCUCAUGGACUGUCAAGACCAAUUGGAGUUCUUUUUUGUCUCACUAGAGAGAAAAGGUACUUCAGGUCAUGGAUAAUAUGCUAAAUUAGUGAAAAUGGGUAAUUUUAACAAUCAUUGUCUGGAGCUGAACAGGAUGCCAAUAUUUAUUGAUGCAGCUUCCUUCUGUGUAAUAUUUUUGUAUUACUGAUGUACAUUU
rnacentral:lncRNA from 1 species